GGAUUAGAUACCCUGGUAGUCCACGCCGUAAACGAUGAGUGCUCGAUGUCGGGUCUUUAAGACUCGGUGUUACAGCUAACGCAAUAAGCACUCCGCCUGGGGAGUACGGUCGCAAGAUUAAAACUCAAAGGAAUUGACGGGGACCCGCACAAGCGGUGGAGCAUGUGGUUUAAUUCGAAGCAACGCGAAGGACCUUACCAGCUUUUGACAUGGGGAUUAAGAGUUUGAGAGAUCAGACUUGUCGGUUCGGCCGGAUCCCACACAGGUGCUGCAUGGCUGUCGUCAGCUCGUGCCG
rnacentral:rRNA from 1 species